AAAACCAGAGCAGUGCUUUAAAAUUACAGUUAAAAAAAAUCAUUUAAUCAUCACACUUCCUGUUGGCUAAUAGGGUAGUAAGUGACUUUUCCUCUUGCAAUAGGCUGCUCUAGCUCUGCCCACUAAGUGGGUCUGAGCGUACCAGGCUGGUUUCCGUCAGCCUCCACACAAAGUGCUGAGAGUUCAGGGAGCAUAUCUUUCCUUCCCCGUAAAUUCACUUAAGUACUAGUCGUGCUGCGGCUUUAACUGGGGCAGACAACCAGACUUGAGAUAAAAUGAAAAUAAUGGUCCAGGCUGGGUGCAGGGGAUGGUAGAGCGCACAUCAAUACGCUGAGUGUGAGUCUAUGUUAAUGUGGGCCUGAUGGAUCAGCUUUCUCUUUUAGCCUGGAGGACCAUUAAGCCCUGGAAGCUGGGUCAAACUGAUAGAGUCGGCAAAUAUACAGCUCAUCACUUAGCAGCGGUGGUUAACCGGCACGGCUGCCUAAUGUGCAGGAACAACGCUGCUUAAACAUUCGCCAUGAUCAGGACACAGAUCGGGAAGAAGAUAAUAGAUUCUGCCUUCAUUUGCAUAAUCAAAGCUUCUCAUUUUCCACCUAUAGAUAAUAUAAGAGGGGGCGAAACCACAGCCAGCACUUCCAUUAUGCUGUUAAUCUUGAAUCUCAGCAAAUAAUUUCCAUAAAAAUGUAAAUAACUUGUUUCAAAAAAAAAUUGCAAUGGAAAGGUUUUCCUGUGUUGCUUCUUUGGGGUUAAAUUGUAGAUACAGGUAGAGCGCUCCUGUCCUGAGGAUUUUGAGGGAUAAGAAAUAAAACUAAGUUUUCCUCCUUUUUGUAAUUAUGAAUUCUUAUAGUGAUUUGACUCAUGUGCAAAACUUUUUGCCGUGUUAAGCCAGAUUGCUUUUAGUGUACGGGAUUUGAAAAAAAAAAAGUUGCAAGUUACCGAGGUGACCAAAAAACUUGGUCGUUUAUUUCCCCUCAAAGCAGAGAAAUGGCAAAGUUCAUAGUAAAAUGAAAAUGAACAAUGGGAGAAAGGAAAGAGCGCAGGGCCAAGAGUUACCCUUCACAGAGCUCAGCACCAGGGGCCCUCUGGCAUCUCACAGUGGCGCGUCCCCCAUCACCUCCAUCUUCCUGUCUCCCCUUCCAUCUAAUCACGCCACAGCUGGGGUGGGUAGCGCUGUUAGCCAAGUACUUUCUUACAUAAUUUCCAAAGUGUUAAACUUUUAAACCUGGCAUCACUAGCUUAUCAGAAAUAUUGAAUUCACAUUUUUGUAUUGUGUGGACCUUUGUAUCCACUCUUAAAGAGACCUCUUUUGAGCACUCCUAUUUCCUAUUUCCGCCGCGGUCUUGAGCACAGCGUAUCUUGUAGGUACUUCUGCCUCAUUUAUAAAAAGGAGGUCAUGAGGAAGUUCCUGGAGUGACUGGGCUUAGGGGCAGCUAGGCCUGUUACUCAUAUUGUCGUCCGAGGCAGGUGAUGACAGGCUUGAGGCCAGCCUGGGCUACAGAGCAAGGGUUUUGUGUUAAAGUCUGAUUGUAAAGGAAUUUGUAUUUUGUGUAUAUGGACGUGUCGUGGGCGUGGUCCACGCAUGUGACCGCACCGCAUAGCCCUGUGCGGUGGCGUACGGAGGGAGGCCCGAGCGGCAUGCUGGCUGGCUUCCUGUGCUGCUUCCCACCCUGUUCCCCCGAGACAGGGUCUCUCCCUGACCCUGAGCCCCUGCUGGAUACCUGGAACACUCCUGAGAUCUGCCUGUCUCUGAGCUCACGGGCAAGGGGGGGUUGUGUCUCCCAUUCUAUGUGGGAUUUGGACCCAGCUCUUCAGGGUUGCAAGGUGAGCAUUCUUACCCAUUUACCCAGCCCUGUACUUUUUUUGUUGAAGGAAAAAAAAUAUUAAGUGCUUCUGUGUAUCUUGUUGGAUUCUAUACUGAAGUCUCU
rnacentral:lncRNA from 1 species